GACGAACGCUGGCGGCGUGCCUAACACAUGCAAGUCGAACGGACAGGCGCUUCGCUGUCCCCGAGUGCCUAACGGGCGGGUAAGACGUUGACGAGUUGAUCAGCACCCUGGGAUAAGCCUGGGAAAUUGGGAAUAAUACGCAAUAGCACCACGAGCUAUUUGAUGUGAGGGGUAAAGCUUUUGAGGCGUGGGUUGGGUCAGCGGUCUAUCAGCUUGUUGGUGGGUAAAUGGUUUACCAAGUCGACGACGGGCAGCCGGCCUGAGAGGGUGACCGCCGACACUGGGACUGAGGUACGGCACAGACUCCUACGGGAGGCAGCAGUGGGGAAUAUUGCACAAUGGGCGCAAGCCUGAUGCAGCGAGGCCGCGUGAGGGAAAACGGCCUUCGGGGUGUAAACCAAUUUCGAAAGGGACGAAGCGCGAGUGACGGUACCUAUAGAAGAAGCACCGGCCAACUACGUG
rnacentral:rRNA from 1 species